rnacentral:rRNA from 1 species
UGGGGAAUCUUGGACAAUGGGGGCAACCCUGAUCCAGCGAUGCCGCGUGGGUGAAGAAGGCCUUCGGGUUGUAAAGCCCUUUAGGCUGGGAAGAAGAAUAUGGGAUGAAUAAUCCUGUAUUUUGACGGUACCAGCAGAAUAAGCACCGGCAAACUCUGUGCCAGCAGCCGCGGUAAUACAGAGGGUGCAAGCGUUAAUCGGAUUUACUGGGCGAAAAGGGCGCGUAGGCGGUUAUAUGAGUGUGAUGUGAAAGCCCCGGGCUCAACCUGGGAAGUGCAUCGCAAACGAUAUAACUGGAGUAGGUGAGAGGGUGGCGGAAUUUCCGGUGUAGCGGUGAAAUGCGUAGAGAUCGGAAGGAACGUCAAUGGCGAAGGCAGCCACCUGGCACCAUACUGACGCUGAGGCGCGAAAGCGUGGGGAGCGAACAGG